rnacentral:rRNA from 1 species
GACGAACGCUGGCGGCGUGCUUAACACAUGCAAGUCGAACGGAGUGGCGAACGGGUGAGUAACACGUGGGUGAUCUGCCUUGCACUUCGGGAUAAGCUUGGGAAACCGGGUCUAAUACCGGAUAGUGCAAGAUGAGCUCGCGGCCUAUCAGCUUGUUGGUGGGGUAAUGGCCUACAAAGGCGUCGACGGGUAGCCGGCCUGAGAGGGUGUACGGCCAACUUGGGACUGAGAUACUGGCCAGAGUCCUACGGUGUGCAGCAGGGGGGAAUAUUGCACGAUGGGCGGAAGCCUGAUGCAGCGACGCCGCGUGGGGGAUGAAGGCCUUCGGGUUGUAAACGCCUUUCGACAGGGACGCGGUACUUGUAUAAGAAGCACCGGCUAACUACGUGCCAGCCGCCGCGGUAAUAC